AAGGAUCGAAAACAAAUUUUGUCAUCAGACACGGAGCUGUGCCAACUCGCAGGCAGCCAGGGGGAAGCUUUGGCUUGGAGAAAGCUUUGAUGGAGAGAGAAAUAGAGAUGAAACAGCUCUGAAGGAGAAAAAGAGCUGUGAGGUUCCUGUGUCCUGCAGGUCCCAGCCCAGCUUCCAUGGGAGUCGUGCUGCCAGCCCCAGCCCACCCAGGGCCCC